CACUGCCGAGAAAAGCCUCUAGAUAGAAAAUAGGUGCCCGUACCGCAAACCGACACAGGUAGUCAAGAUGAGAAUUCUAAGGUGAGCGAGCGAACUCUCGUUAAGGAACUCGGCAAAAUGACCCCGUAACUUCGGGAGAAGGGGUGCUCUUUAGGGUUAACGCCCAGAAGAGCCGCAGUGAAUAGGCCCAAGCGACUGUUUAUCAAAAACACAGGUCUCUGCUAAACCGUAAGGUGAUGUAUAGGGGCUGACGCCUGCCCGGUGCUGGAAG
rnacentral:rRNA from 1 species